ensembl:lincRNA Gm19272 predicted gene, 19272
GUCCAGGUUCCCUACAGUGAGUGGAAGUCACAGGAAUGAUCUACCAAGAACCACUGCAUGUACCACUGUGGUAGAAGUUAAGGAGUCUUCAUAGGAUGCUGGAUGAAGGCUGGAUACUUCUAUAUCAGCAGAAUGCUUUGUUUUAUGGCCUCUUGAUGCUGGUACCGUGGCUUUGUACACACAAAGGGAUUCUCUAAACAAAGGAUUGCCCAGCUGUUACAGUAAUUAGGAAGUUGCAUCAUCAAGACAGGAAUCACUGCUCAGAAAGAGCACCAUUCCUUUUCUUAUUUCGAGAGAGGAUUGAGGAACACUUGGGCUGAGUUUUAGAAGCUCUAUAAGGAUAAUGUAUAUUUUGCACAUGCAAACAGUCUUACCAAUAAUCCCUAUUUGGGAUACCAUGAAAAGUCCAGAAAGAGUCAUAGACCAGUUAAGGCUUUCACACUCUUCUCCCAAGUCAAUAUUCUGCAUGUCAGAAAAAAAAUUGUUCUGAGCAAUAAUGGCUUUGACAAUUGAUAAUGAAUAGAGAGAGCUAAGUGUAUGAUUUAGUGAAGAAUCGUCUCUAACUCAGGAGAAGCUGGUCCCAUCAAGAAAGUCCUCAGAUAACCUGGUGUGUGAUCACUGGUAAUAGUGUCGCAGUAGGAUGUGCCAAAGGUCAUCUUUCUAGAUCAGAUGGCUGUACCGGCCGGCAGCUGUGUUGUCUCCUUGGCUCCCAAGUAUUAGGGUUGAAGUGAAACUCUAUAACGUGCUUGCUUCUCCACCCAUAACAUAAAAUUUCAAGCAGCAGACUCUCCCAGAGCUGUAUCUGAACAGAGAUAAAACAAGGCUCCUGCCUUCACGUUCAGAUCUGUUUGACAUCGUAUCGCCAGUGAGUCACGUUUCUUCUUUUAUUACCUAGUCUCUUGCCGAGAUUGAGAAGUGCAGGAAAAGAAAUGCACCAGGGACAAUUCACAAUGGAUCACUGUCAAAUUGAUCUUGCUGCAAUACUGCCCCUGAUGCCAAAUUCUCAUUUACUUGGCAAUGCUCAUCAGCUUAUUCAUUAAUUGGGUACUAAAAAGAAUACAAAAGCAGAUGCCAAAGGUACAUGAGAAUACAGCAAGAAGAUAGCUGUCUGUUUGCGAGGAAGACAGGCCUCUCUGGAACACUCUUUAUGGGGAAUGUUUGCCUCCAGAACUAAAUAGAUACCCUGAAGGUGAGAAACCAUCUACUGUGAUCCUUAAGUAAAGGCUAUAUUGUAGACUCCAGGACACUGAAAUUCUAUUGUUACACUCAGCGGGUACAUUGGACCAAGGAGACACUAAACUAUUUGGCUGUAGUGGUUUAUUAUAUAGAGUGCAUGCAGGUGGAGGUGAUUCCCACGUGGAGAUACUGCAGUGAUGUCCCCUGAAUACAUUUCCACCACUCCUCCUUCAUUAUCACCUAUUUUCCCCUUGGAGGGGUUUACAGAUUCUGGACUCCUUAGUCUCCUUGCUGUGUCUCUUAUAUUUUCUUGACUACAGAAUUGAGAACUGAGUGCCCACUUGUAUAUAAGUUCAGUAGUUUGGAAGCCCUAAAAUUCAGGUGGCUUACUUCCUCAGCAGGUUGAAUAUUUAUAAUGUCCACACUGUAUCCUACUGUUUGGAGAUAUAAAGAAAUACAUUUGUGAUACUUUCUUCUUUGCAGCGAAUCAUCUUCACACUGAAGAGGCAAAUGAUAAUCUAAACAAAAAUUACUAAUGUGAUACUUUUUUAUUAAUAAAAUCUCUUGUGCUUUCU